GUAAGAAGUGCGAGAUGGUUGCGGAGGCAUGGAGAGAGGAAGAACUACAUCUACUAGGAAUUUCAAAGGAAAUCAUAACAAAAACUGAGAUUUGCCGAGUCCCCACGAUUUGCUAGGCUGUGUCAACGCCACCAAGAGCUGGACCUAGAAAUUCUGCUUCAGACUCCAGGGUCCUGCACAUGAGAAAUGAAGAUACGACUGACUUUGGAUCCUGUGGGAGGAAGGGAUCUGAUGUAAUCAAUCUGCUACCAAGUGUCCGACUGGUUUCCUCAAGGAAUGGAGUG